rnacentral:rRNA from 1 species
AGAGCGAACGCUGGCGGCAGGCUUAACACAUGCAAGUCGAACGGAUCCUUCGGGAUUAGUGGCGGACGGGUGAGUAACACGUGGGAACGUGCCUUUAGGUUCGGAACAACACAGGGAAACUUGUGCUAAUACCGGAUGUGCCCUUCGGGGGAAAGAUUUAUCGCCUUUAGAGCGGCCCGCGUCUGAUUAGCUUGUUGGUGAGGUAAAGGCUCACCAAGGCUACGAUCAGUAGCUGGUCUGAGAGGAUGGCCAGCCACAUUGGGACUGAGACACGGCCCAAACUCCUACGGGAGGCAGCAGUGGGGAAUCUUGCGCAAUGGGGAAACCCUGACGCAGCCAUGCCGCGUGGAUGAUGAAGGUCUUAGGAUUGUAAAAUCCUUUCAGCGGGGACGAUAAUGACGGUACCCGCAGAAGAAGCCCCGGCUAACUUCGUGCCAGCAGCCGC